CCUAUUUGAACUCCAUUUCCACUUCACACAGGGGAGGAUCCUAUAGUAUGUGUCCGUCUGUGUAUGUGCGGAUGUAAGUGUGGAGGACUUCUGCACAGUGGA